GAUGAACGCUGGCGGCGUGCCUAAUACAUGCAAGUCGAGCGAACAGACGAGGAGCUUGCUCCUCUGACGUUAGCGGCGGACGGGUGAGUAACACGUGGAUAACCUACCUAUAAGGCUGGGAUAACUUCGGGAAACCGGAGCUAAUACCGGAUAAUAUAUUGAACCGCAUGGUUCAAUAGUGAAAGACGGUUUUGCUGUCACUUAUAGAUGGAUCCGCGCAGCAUUAGCUAGUUGGUAAGGUAACGGCUUACCAAGGCGACGAUGCGUAGCCGACCUGAGAGGGUGAUCGGCCACACUGGAACUGAGACACGGUCCAGACUCCUACGGGAGGCAGCAGUAGGGAAUCUUCCGCAAUGGGCGAAAGCCUGACGGAGCAACGCCGCGUGAGUGAUGAAGGUCUUCGGAUCGUAAAGCUCUGUUAUUAGGGAAGAACAAAUGUGUAAGUAACUAUGCACGUCUUGACGGUACCUAAUCAGAAAGCCACGGCUAACUACGUG
rnacentral:rRNA from 1 species